rnacentral:lncRNA from 1 species
AAGCAAAUUGACAACAUUUGAAAAAGGAUCAUUGAAAGAAUAUGAGGAAUCACAUAUUGGUGGGAAUGCAAAGUGAGUCCUGCACAGUGAGCGGUGACGCACUGAAUGGUCCAUUUUUCUUUUCUAAAUCCAGGGCUGUGUUUUGCUUCUCAUGGCGCUGAUGGCAUAUCUGAAAGUUCUUUACUGAGCUAAAGAAUCUGCCUGCAAUGUGACAGACCUGGGUUUGAUCUUCCCAGGUCGGGAAGAUCCCCUGGAGAAGGGCAUGGCAACACCUCUAGUAUUCUUGCCUGGAGAAUCCCAUGGAGAGAGGAGCCUGGCUGGCUACAGUCCAUGGAGUCACAGAGUCGAACACGACUGAGCGACUAACACACUUUCACUUACU